rnacentral:rRNA from 1 species
AAAUUGAAGAGUUUGAUCAUGGCUCAGAUUGAACGCUGGCGGCAGGCCUAACACAUGCAAGUCGAACGGUAACAGGAAGCAGCUUGCUGCUUUGCUGACGAGUGGCGGACGGGUGAGUAAUGUCUGGGAAACUGCCUGAUGGAGGGGGAUAACUACUGGAAACGGUGGCUAAUACCGCAUAACGUCGCAAGACCAAAGAGGGGGACCUUCGGGCCUCUUGCCAUCAGAUGUGCCCAGAUGGGAUUAGCUAGUUGGUGAGGUAACGGCUCACCAAGGCGACGAUCCCUAGCUGGUCUGAGAGGAUGGCCAGCCACACUGGAACUGAGACACGGUCCAGACUCCUACGGGAGGCAGCAGUGGGGAAUAUUGCACAAUGGGCGCAAGCCUGAUGCAGCCAUGCCGCGUGUAUGAAGAAGGCCUUCGGGUUGUAAAGUACUUUCAGCGGGGAGGAAGGUGUUGUGGUUAAUAACCUCAGCAAUUGACGUUACCCGCAGAAGAAGCACCGGCUAACUCCGUGCCAGC